AUUGAACGCUGGCGGCAUGCUUUACACAUGCAAGUCGAACGGUAACAGGCCGCAAGGUGCUGACGAGUGGCGAACGGGUGAGUAAUGCAUCGGAACGUGCCCAGUCGUGGGGGAUAACGCAGCGAAAGCUGUGCUAAUACCGCAUACGAUCUAUGGAUGAAAGCGGGGGACCGUAAGGCCUCGCGCGAUUGGAGCGGCCGAUGUCAGAUUAGGUAGUUGGUGGGGUAAAGGCCUACCAAGCCGACGAUCUGUAGCUGGUCUGAGAGGACGACCAGCCACACUGGGACUGAGACACGGCCCAGACUCCUACGGGAGGCAGCAGUGGGGAAUUUUGGACAAUGGGCGCAAGCCUGAUCCAGCAAUGCCGCGUGCAGGAAGAAGGCCUUCGGGUUGUAAACUGCUUUUGUACGGAACGAAACGGUCUGGGUUAAUACCCUGGGCUAAUGACGGUACCGUAAGAAUAAGCACCGGCUAACUACGUGCCAGCCGCCGCAGUAAUAC
rnacentral:rRNA from 1 species